GAUGAACGCUAGCGGCAGGCUUAAUACAUGCAAGUCAAGGGGGUAGCAAUACAACCGGCGCACGGGUGAGUAACGCGUACACAACAUACCAUAUACUGGGGUAUAGCUUUGGGAAACUGAGGGUAAUCCCCCACUAACAUUGCGAGAGGGCGAUCUGAUUGCAAUUAAAGUUUACGGUCGGUAUAUGAUUGGUGUGCGUUGUAUUAGCUAGUUGGUAGGGUAACGGGCCUACCAAGGCGACGAUCAAUAGCUGGCGUGAGAGCGCGACCAGCCACACUGGAACUGAGACACGGUCCAGACUCCUACGGGAGGCAGCAGUAGGGAAUAUUGGACAAUGGAGGAAACUCUGAUCCAGCCAUGCCGCGUGAUAGAUGAAGG
rnacentral:rRNA from 1 species